GACGAACGCUGGCGGCGUGCUUAACACAUGCAAGUCGAGCGAUGAACCUUCCAUGAAUUUUUCGGAAUGAUUGGAAGAGGAUUAGCGGCGGACGGGUGAGUAACGCGUGAGCAACCUGCCUUAAACAACGGGAUAGCCUCGGGAAACCGGGGUUAAUACCGUAGUAGACCCCGCCUUCACAUGAAGCGGAGGUUAAAGAUUUAUCGGUUUAAGAUGGGCUCACGUCUGAUUCGGUAGUAGGUGAGAUAAAAGCCCACCAAGGCAACGAGCAGUAACCGGCUUGAGAGGGAACGGUCACAUUGGAACUGAGACACGGUCCAAACUCCUACGGGAGGCAGCAGUGGGGAAUAUUGCACAAUGGGGGAAACCCUGAUGCAGCGACGCCGCGUGAGCGAUGAAGGAAUUCGUUUCGUAAAGCUCUGUCCAAGGGGAAGAUAAUGACAGUACCCUUGGAGGAAGCCCCGGCUAAAUACGUGCCAGCCGCCGCGGUAAUAC
rnacentral:rRNA from 1 species